GGAUGUGAGGGCGAUCUGGCUAUGACAUCUGUCACCCCAUUGAUUGUCAGGGUUGAUUCGGCUGAUCUGGCUGGCUAGGCAGGUGUCCCCUUCCUCCCUCAUCGCUCCAUAUGCGUCCCUUCCGAAGCUGUGCGCUCGGUCGAAGAGGACGACCAUCCCCGAUAGAGGAGGACCGGUCUUAGGUCAAGGGUAUACGAGUAGCUGCGCUCCCCUGCUAGAACCUCCAAACAAGCUCUCAAAAAAGUUGUUACUAUUUAAAGGACAGAAAUAUUUUUCUGGAGGCUAGGAGUGGAUGCGGGAAAGACUGAAACAUAGGUUGAACAAUCU
ensembl:misc_RNA 7SK 7SK RNA